rnacentral:rRNA from 1 species
UACAGGGGGUGCGAGCGUUAAUCGGAAUUACUGGGUGUAAAGGGCGCGCAGGCGGCAUUGUAAGUGCGAUGUGAAAGCCCCGGGCUUAACCUGGGAAGGGCAUUGCAUACUGUGAUGCUGGAGUACAUGAGAGGGUGGCGGAAUUUCCGGUGUAGCGGUGAAAUGCGUAGAGAUCGGAAGGAACGUCAAUGGCGAAGGCAGCCACCUGGCAUGAUACUGACGCUGAGGCGCGAAAGCGUGGGGAGCGAACAGG